UGGGGGAUAUUGCACAAUGGGCGAAAGCCUGAUGCAGCGACGCCGCGUGGGGGAUGAAGGCUUUCGGGUUGUAAACCUCUUUCGCUAUCGAACAAGGCCCGCUUAGGGUGGGUUGAGGGUAGGUGGAGAAGAAGCGCCGGCUAACUACGUGCCAGCAGCCGCGGUAAUACGUAGGGCGCGAGCGUUGUCCGGAAUUAUUGGGCGUAAAGGGCUUGUAGGCGGCUUGUUGCGCCUGCUGUGAAAACGCGGGGCUUAACUUCGCGCGUGCAGUGGCUACGGGCAGGCUUGAGUGUGGUAGGGGUGACUGGAAUUCCAGGUGUAGCGGUGGAAUGCGCAGAUAUCUGGAGGAACACCGAUGGCGAAGGCAGGUCACUGGGCCAUUACUGACGCUGAGGAGCGAAAGCAUGGGUAGCGAACAGG
rnacentral:rRNA from 1 species